CAUUUAUUAAGAUAAAAAUUAAUAAAAAGUGAAACUCAUGUAAAAAUUCAAAACUUUUGCCCGUAAUUUGUACAUUUAAGUCACCAGUUGGCGUGACAGUCUAGAGGCUCGGUCCCUAUUUAAUACUUAUAUUUUUA